rnacentral:snoRNA from 1 species
UUACUGUAGUGAAUAUAAGAGCAAGCAUGUAUUCUCAGACCUAAUUCUUUACCCACCUAGAUCUGACCUUAGAAAUGCUGGCUGUUAAAA